rnacentral:rRNA from 2 species
GGAGACCUUGAGUGCAGAAGAUGAGAAGUGAACUGCAUGUGUAGCGUUGAAAUGCGUAGAGAUGAUGAGGAACACCAGGUGCGGAAGCGACUCUCUGGUCUGUAACUGACGCUGAGACGCGAAAGCGUGGGGAGCGAACAGGGUUAGAUACCCUGGUAGUCCACGCCGUAAACGAUGAGUGCUAAGUGUUUGAGGGGUUCCGCCCUUUAGUGCUGCAAGCUAACGCAUUAAGCACUCCGCCUGGGGAGUACGGCCGCAAGGCUGAAACUCAAAGGAAUUGACGGGGGCCCGCACAAGCGGUGGAGCAUGUGGUUUUAUUCGAAGCAACGCGAAGAACCUUACCAGGUCUUGACAUCCUCUGACAACCCUAGAGAUAGGGGUUCCCCUUCGGGGGCAGAGUGACAGGUGGUGCAUGGUUGUCGUCAGCUCGUGUCGUGAGAUGUUGGGUUAAGUCCCCGCAACGAGCGCAACCCUUGAUCUUAGUUGCCAUCAUUCAGUUGGGCACUCUAAGGUGACUGCCGGUGACAAACCGGAGGAAGGUGGGGAUGACGUCAAAUCAUCAUGCCCCUUAUGACCUGGGCUACACACGUGCUACAAUGGACGGUACAAAGAGCAGCAAAACCGCGAGGUGAGCCAAUCUCACAAAUCCGUUCUCAGUUCGGAUUGCAGUCUGCAACUCGCCUACAUGAAGCUGGAAUCGCUAGUAAUCGCGGAUCAGCAUGCCGCGGUGAAUACGUUCCCGGGCCUUGUACACACCGCCCGUCACACCACGAGAGUUUGUAACACCCGAAGUCGGUGAGGGUAACCUUUAGGAGCCAGCCGCCGAAUGGUGAUCCG